GGGGGAUAUUGCACAAUGGGGGAAACCCUGAUGCAGCGACGCCGCGUGGAGGAAGAAGGUUUUCGGAUUGUAAACUCCUGUCGUUAGGGACGAUAAUGACGGUACCUAACAAGAAAGCACCGGCUAACUACGUGCCAGCAGCCGCGGUAAAACGUAGGGUGCAAGCGUUGUCCGGAAUUACUGGGUGUAAAGGGAGCGCAGGCGGGAAGACAAGUUGGAAGUGAAAACCAUGGGCUCAACCCAUGAAUUGCUUUCAAAACUGUUUUUCUUGAGUAGUGCAGAGGUAGAUGGAAUUCCCGGUGUAGCGGUGGAAUGCGUAGAUAUCGGGAGGAACACCAGUGGCGAAGGCGGUCUACUGGGCACCAACUGACGCUGAGGCUCGAAAGCAUGGGUAGCAAAC
rnacentral:rRNA from 1 species